CUUUUAUUCAGAGUGGUGGAGAUACAAAGGAUCUGAGAAGCCACGGCAACCCCGGAAAUCCAGGAAGGUGCCAACCUGAGCGAGCAAUCGAACAAUAAGAG
rnacentral:ncRNA from 2 species